UACGAAGGGGGCGAGCGUUGUUCGGAUUUACUGGGCGUAAAGGGCGCGCAGGCGGUUCUGUUUGUCGAGUGUGAAAGCCCCGGGCUCAACCUGGGAACUGCGCUCGAAACGGCGGAACUAGAGUUCGGGAGAGGAGAGUGGAAUUCCCAGUGUAGAGGUGAAAUUCGUAGAUAUUGGGAAGAACACCGGUGGCGAAGGCGGCUCUCUGGACCGAUACUGACGCUGAGACGCGAAAGCGUGGGGAGCGAACAGG
rnacentral:rRNA from 1 species